AUUGAACGCUGGCGGCAUGCCUUACGCAUGCAAGUCAAACGGCAGCAUGGAGAGCUUGCUCUCUGAUGGCGAGUGGCGAACGGGUGAGUAAAGCAUCGGAACGUACCGUGUAGUGGGGGAUAACGUAGCGAAAGUUACGCUAAUACCGCAUACGCACUGAGGUGGAAAGCAGGGGAUCGUAAGACCUUGCGCUAUACGAGCGGCCGAUGUCAGAUUAGCUAGUUGGUAGGGUAAAGGCCUACCAAGGCGACGAUCUGUAGCGGGUCUGAGAGGAUGAUCCGCCACACUGGGACUGAGACACGGCCCAGACUCCUACGGGAGGCAGCAGUGGGGAAUUUUGGACAAUGGGGGCAACCCUGAUCCAGCCAUGCCGCGUGAGUGAAGAAGGCCUUCGGGUUGUAAAGCUCUUUCGGCCGGGAAGAAAUCGCACAGGCUAAUACCCUGUGUGGAUGACGGUACCGGCAUAAGAAGCACCGGCUAACUACGUGCCAGCCGCCGCAGUAAGAC
rnacentral:rRNA from 1 species